AGAGUGAACGCUGGCGGCAGGCCUAACACAUGCAAGUCGAACGGCAGCACAGGGGAGCUUGCUCCCUGGGUGGCGAGUGGCGGACGGGUGAGGAAUGCGUCGGAAUCUGCCUUUUCGUGGGGGAUAACGUAGGGAAACUUACGCUAAUACCGCAUGCGACCCUGCUCCGGGAGGAUCAGGGUGAAAGCGGGGGACCUUCGGGCCUCGCGCGGAAAGAUGAGCCGACGCCGGAUUAGCUAGUUGGCGGGGUAACGGCCCACCAAGGCGACGAUCCGUAGCUGGUCUGAGAGGAUGAUCAGCCACACUGGAACUGAGACACGGUCCAGACUCCGUACGGGA
rnacentral:rRNA from 1 species